GAGACGGAGUGCCACUGGGUUCACCACCUUGGAUAUGUGGAAAGGUCCAACAAAACGAGGUGCAAACGUCUUGCUUUCCACUCUUAGGGGAAGAUCCUUGGUGGAGAGCCAAACCUUUUGACCAACCUGCUUUUCUCCAAACCCGUUGGCACCUCAUGGCAGCAUGAGCAGACGGGACCUGGGCCUCUCUUUCUUGUAUGGUGAACACCGGUGGCUGGAAUCUAUGGACGACGUAAAAAGGUUCCUAGACGGAAGAGAGUUGAUGCCAUGUUCCACCCAAGGUUAAUUCCAAGACCUGGCUCAGCUCCUGUGAACCUACCAGACCAAGUACUAAAAGAUUCUCCUGAUCACGCUCCAGCUGACUGACCCCGGGGUUCUCAAUCCUUGGACCAGCCUCUAGCGACUCCUGCCCACCAACAAACCUCACUGGCACUGGCAUCAUCUAAGCAUGCUCGAAGUGAAGCAUCUAGUGGUUUAGAAUUACUGGAUCAUCUCAGGCUGACUCAGCCUUCAGGCUGCUCAUCUAGCAGUGCCAUUGGAAACCUGGCGGUGGCUUCACCUCCCUCUCCAGGCUCUGAAUUUAUCCCUCCGCAAGCUGGACUCCUCUCCACUAUCUGUGAGCAUCACCUCACAUUCUAUCACAAACCUUUCCUUGUACAGUAGCAACCUGUUCUCCAGUCCUCCAUUUCUGUGCAGAGUGACGAAUCUAGUUCCGGUACCAGAUCCAUUAACCCAACCUUCAAUAAACUAGUUAAACUUU